CCUUGUACACACCGCCCGUCAAGUCAUGGGAGCCGGGAGCGCCCGAAGUCGUCACUCCUCAGUGAUGCCCACGGCGAGCUCGGUGACUGGGACU
rnacentral:rRNA from 1 species